CUCUACGGCCAUGCUAUCCUGAACAAGCCCGAUCUAGUCUGAUCUCGGAAGCUAAGCAGGGUUGGGCCUGGUUAGUACUUGGAUGGGAAACCACCUAGGAAGACCAGGUGCUAUAGGCG
rnacentral:rRNA from 1 species